CUCUACCAAGAGCGAUAAAGUAAAACUGUCUCUACAAAAAAAAAAAAGAAAGAAAAUCAUAAUUAUUAAGAAUAUUCAAUAACUACUAUAUCUUAGGAAAAGAUAAGCAAGUAAUACAACACUGCCUUAAGUUUUUCUGAUUCUGAUUAGUCAUCUCUUAUAAAGCUGGAACUUCAAGAAAUGUUCAGUAUAGGCCAUGUGUGAGCCAUGCUUCUGAACUUAUAAAAAAAUUUUUCACCUUAUAUUUUAUUACUCUAAGGAGUUAAAAUUCUUGCUCAUGGUCAUCUUCCCAGUAUCACCCUAUAAUGCAUUCUUUUAAGGAUUAAUUGGUUCUGCAUUUUCAGUACAAGCUAGUAGUACAUGUAUAUAUAUUUGGUCAGAGUGAUGUUUCAGAAUUAAGCCUCUUCUAUCAGUACUGUUCUAUUCUGUGAAGUUUGCCUUUUACCCUCUAUACGAUUAUUUUCACCACCUUCUGGAACUCUAUGCCACAUUCAAAGGCCUUGACUUGUCCCACCUUGUUUUAGACACAGCUACCU